rnacentral:lncRNA from 1 species
AAAGAAACCCGAGUGUAGCUGAACAUAGCAAGUAGUUUAGAGGCAGAGGUACUAAACUAACCAAAUCAAACAAUGUCUCUAAUUCUCCACUCAUCUCCCACCUUUCAUUUCAAUGCCUCUAAUCUUUUUCUCAACAAAUCUCCUCACCUAUCAUUCUCCAAACCCUCAAGACUCUCCAUCAAAUCUGAAGAUUCUUCGGACCAAUCAAGUGAUGACGCAUCAUCCACCGUGGUCCCACCCAAAUCCAGCUCCACUGGUCUAGGAUUCGGCUCUUCCGCUGCUUCUCCGAGUCCAACAAAGAAAAAACAGGGGAAAAGAGAAAGAGCGGCUGUGAUUCGUAGAGACCCAGUUGAGAAACCCAAGUUUGCUGCACUAAGAGAUGAGAGUGAGUUGAAGGAGCAGGGGCAGAAUGAGCAAGCUUUCUUGCUUGCUUGGUUAGGUCUUGGUUCUAUUAUUUUUGUCCAGGGGAUUCUUCUUGCUGUUUCAGGUAUAUAUUUCAUGACCCUUUUCGAGGAAUUGUUGAAUUUAUUGAUUUGGAGUUCUUAGUAGGUUGUUUAGAGUAAUUGGAUGAUGGAGUACUACAUGAUUGUAUUGCAUUCUUGAUAUUCUGUGCGGUUUAAUUGGUAAGAAUGUAAUUACUAAUGACCUAGGGAUGAGGUGAAAAACUGUGAAUUGUGCAGAAAAGAAAAUGAAGAGGGUAGAGUGAUGAAAAUGUGAGAGCGAUUUUUUUAUGGUGGGAUAGAGAAUUAUAGAGCUUUAGUUCGUAUUUUAAAGGGUUAAUAAUCAAAUGAGUCACCAAAGUGGGUUCGAUAUAUCAAUUUGGUCACUAAACUCAAAACCGUCUCAAAUUAGUCAUUUAAGUCGGUUAUACGUAUCUUUAAAUAUGAGUUGAAGGUGUAAAAAUAUUAUUUACAGAGGUUUACGCAUUAUUAUUGAAUGUUAUCACAACUAAGUACAAUGUUUUAUAAUAAUAUAUUUUGAUUUUAUCAAGUUUAUUUAUUAUUUAUUUUUAAUUAAAACAAAGGAAUUAACUAUAUAAUAAAAAAUAAAUAACAAAUAAAUUUGAUAUAAUCUAAAUAUAUUAUCAUAAAUACUAGAAGUCAUAACCUUGUACUUAGUUGUGGUAACAUUCAAUAAUAAUGUGUAAAUCUAUGUAAAUAAUACUUUCACUCUUUGAACUCACAUUUAAAGAUACAUGUAACUGUGACCAAUUUGAGACGGUUUUGAGUUCAGUGACCAAUUUGAUAUAUCGAGUUCACUUCGGUGACUCACUUGAUUAUUAACCCGUAUUUUAAAUGAACAAGAAUGGAAUGAAAAUGUGUGAAGAAUAGGGAGGUGGAAAUUUUGAUGCAGAGGGGAGAGUAAAAAAGAGAGCAAAUUUACUAGGGUGAGAUUGUGUUAAAGAUUCAAUCUGUAUGAAUGUAAUGGAUGACUGAAUGAAAAUUAUGAAUUGAAUGAACAAUGUGGAUAUUUACCUGCAAAACAGUACAGUUUUUAUUUCUUGCUUGCCUGAUUCUGUUCCUUCCAACCAAAUUUAGGGUUAGAGACUUAGAGUUAAAUUCUUAUAGAUUUUUUUGUUCUACCUGUGUUUUACUUGUUGGUGUUUUUCAGGUUUUCUCCCAGAAGAAUUGGAUAAGUUGUGUGUAAAGUAUGUAUACCCAGCAUUUACCCCAACAGUUGUUUUCUUUUUUGGGGGAACGAUCGUGUAUGGUGUCUCUAAAUACCUGCAGAACGAAAAAGAGAAUAACCAAAAUUUAUGAUUUCUUCAAUGUAAAUAAGUUCUUGGAUUCCUUGGCUGCACCUUUUGCUUUGCUUCUCAUUGCAAUGGUCAUAAAGAUGUAUGGCCUUUGAGUUUUUUAUUUGAGAAUCUGCCAAGGAUAAUGUAAUUCUAUAUUUUCAUAUCAUACCUACAUCGGCAUUCUGCAUACUAACAUUUUACAGUGAGCAUACUUGCAUCUGAAAGAGUUCCAUUGCAAGUCGAGUAUGCUAAUGGUUACGACUUUUGAGUAGAGCUGCUAUAGACACAUACACCAGGAAAACUCAGUUCAAGCUGCUAUAGACACAUACAUCAGGAAAACUCAGUUGAUCUGUACAUAUGCGGUGAUUCCUNGAUCUUUUUACUCAAACCUAUUACUCUUCUUUAUUCAUUCAAAAUAACUCUUUUUUCAAUUAAAAAAUUAAUGCGACGGUUGUUAUUAUUGCCCUUGGUAUGUUUUUGUAAAUAGUUAAAAAAUUACUGUAAAAAUUAAAUUUUAAGGAGAUCAAUAUAAAUAUAUAUUUGCAUAAAAAUAUAAGAGGGUCGACUGAUACUCUUGCUCCUGUUAGGAUCUCAUCUGCAAUGUUGUGCCUUAGAAUGAGUUCAGCCGAAGAGGAAUAUAUUUUUUCUAUAACACGCUUGCUCACCCUCAAAAGGGCAAUCUUAACCUGACUAAAAAAAUCAUAUCAAAACUAUGGAAUACUAUAUGUGGAGAAAAUCGAGUAAUCAAAAAAGAAAUUACUCUUAUGGUUGGUAUGUAAGUACAAGAACGGCUUUUAACUUGAUUGACAAACAAGUUGGCAGAAAAGAAGCGGCGACUGGAUUUGAAAUAAGAUUGUGUUCAAGAACAUGUUUUUCAUUUCAAAUUUUGGAUUUCAAAUGACACGAUUUGAGAUGUCAUUUCAAAUUCUCAGUUUUAUACUGGUAAUUGAAUGUCUUAGAUUUAAAAUAAAAUUUAAAUCCAAAUUAUUUUUUAUCCAAACAUAUCAUUUUAUCAAAUCUUGGAUUUCAAAUGAAAUCCAAUUUCCAAACAGACUAUAAAGAUACUUGAAUUGACACGUGAUCGUAUUUGUGUUUUUUCGCAAUUUUAUUAGUUGAUGAUCGAUUAAUUGAUUUUAAUUUUUUUUAAUUUUUUUAUAUUAUUUUCAUAUAAUUAAAUCUAUAUCUUUGUUUCCAGAAGAGUCAGUGAACUCUUGUGCAAUUGAAGCACUGUAGGAUUAGGAGAAGACAGGAUCAGCUAGUCAGUUAAUUUGGUUCUCUUUUUUUGGAAAUCAUGACUUAGUUUUAUCAUUGUUGAAAUAUUGUGACAUUUUGUUAGACUCAAAUUAUAUAUUAUUUUUUUUUCUAAUAAUUCUACAUUUGGAAUGUUUCAACUCUCUCAACUCUAUGUAGAUAGGUAUAGAUUAUUCAAAGAAUGCAAAUGUAGAAUAUUUUGUAAAACGUGUUAUCUUGCAAAAAUAUAAUUCACAAAUAUCAUUAUUUCAAUAAAAUCUUAUAAAUCUUAUAAAUUUACAAGUAAAAUAUGUAUUUUAUGCAAUAUGAACGUGUAUAUUCUUCAAACUAAACAUAUUUUAUAAAAUAAUAUAUUUUGCAAUGUUCUACUGGUAAACUAUAUGUCUACAUGGGGUGCGCAAGAUUUUCAAUAAAUAGUGAUUUUUGUAUAACAUCAUUCGAAAAAUAAUAUGUUUUAUAACAUUUUAAAAUAUAUUUUACUUAAAAAACAUAUGUCAACUUUAAGACUCCAAUGAAACUGUGGACUUAAUAGAACUUAACUUUUAUAUAUUAAUAUAAUUAUAUGCUAAUUUAUUAUAUAUAUGUUAUAUAUGUUCGUUUCGGAUAUAUCAUGUUAAAAUUUUAGUAAAAUUGAAACCAAAUUAAUCUAGCAAAAAAAUCCAAAUUUUCUGUAUGAUCAUAUGGUUCGGUCCGCUUUAUUAAGUUUUGAUAUGCGAGGAUCAUUUCUACUUUAUUUUUUUUUAACCUCAGUAUCUUAACUAUUAACAAAAUCCUGUGUCUAAAAAGAAACCCGAGUGUAGCUGAACAUAGCAAGUAGUUUAGAGGCAGAGGUACUAAACUAACCAAAUCAAACAAUGUCUCUAAUUCUCCACUCAUCUCCCACCUUUCAUUUCAAUGCCUCUAAUCUUUUUCUCAACAAAUCUCCUCACCUAUCAUUCUCCAAACCCUCAAGACUCUCCAUCAAAUCUGAAGAUUCUUCGGACCAAUCAAGUGAUGACGCAUCAUCCACCGUGGUCCCACCCAAAUCCAGCUCCACUGGUCUAGGAUUCGGCUCUUCCGCUGCUUCUCCGAGUCCAAC